AUUGGGGAACAAAAAAUUCCAGGGAAAAUCCCAUCCAAUGAAGGUUAAGGGGGGCAGCACCCCAAGGUCAGGGGCGACGAUUGGGUCUUCAGGUCAGUGUCCAGGCUCGCCUCUGCACGGACACCCCUGGACCUGGAGAAGGGUGGGGAGGGCUCUGACACCGCUGUGCCUAGGCGCCUGUCACCCAGCCCGGGAGGUGACCCAGACCACAGGCGAGGAUGGCCUCCCACAGCCUGCGCCCCCCGCCCCGGGGAGACCCGUCAGGCCCCAGCGCUGACUCAGGGAGUGUGAAGUGACUGAGAUCCGACAAAGCACCUUCUGUGACCACGGUGGAAGGACACUGGCAUCCUAACAGGAGGAAAGCAGGGAAAUCCAGGAAUGUGUGGGAAUCCCGCAACAGACACUCAGACAGCCAGGGUCCAAGAAGAGGUAGGAGAGGUCCGGAGACUGCUGAGGGCGGCCAGAGCUGUGAGCCGAGGGCCACCCGCGGCCGUGAAUGUCCACCAGAACCAAGGGUCUCAAUCCAGAUCCCAAGUCCACACCUCCACGACCCAGAACAAGUGGCUGGACGGAGGCGUCAUGGCCCAUGCUGGCCCCCAGCACCCUGACCGCUGUUCCAUCGCCCUUGGGCCCCGGCCCAGGUGGCAGGUCGGCUGUGAGUCUGGCCGCCCCCCUUUCCUCUCCGUCUCUCCGUGACGCAGUCCUGGUGCGUCUCCUGUGGAUCCUGCUGAGUCCGUUCUACGUGGAGCUCUUUGAAUUUCCUGGAGGAGUAGAUUCCUGUGUCCCCUCAGACGUGGACACAUUUCACUGUCUCUUCAAUGUUUUAAAAUUUCCUAUUUAAUAAACACGAGCGCAAUUCCCCCGUUUGCA